AGCCUUAUAUUCACAUAUGAUUUUAAAUUGCAAAUUUAAAGGUGAUUCUCCGGAUCUAAGGCUU
rnacentral:tRNA from 1 species